GCCAGACUCCUACGGGAGGCAGCAGUGGGGAAUAUUGCACAAUGGGCGAAAGCCUGAUGCAGCAACGCCGCGUGAGCGAUGAAGGCCUUCGGGUCGUAAAGCUCUGUCCUCAAGGAAGAUAAUGACGGUACUUGAGGAGGAAGCCCCGGCUAACUAUGUGCCAGCAGCCGCGGUAAUACAUAGGGGGCAAGCGUUAUCCGGAAUUAUUGGGUGUAAAGGGUGCGUAGACGGAAGAACAAGUUGGUUGUGAAAUCCCUCGGCUCAACUGAGGAACUGCAACCAAAACUAUUCUCCUUGAGUGUCGGAGAGGAAAGUGGAAUUCCUAGUGUAGCGGUGAAAUGCGUAGAUAUUAGGAGGAACACCAGUGGCGAAGGCGACUUUCUGGACGAUAACUGACGUUGAGGCACGAAAGUGUGGGGAGCAAACAGGAUUAGAUACCCUGGUAA
rnacentral:rRNA from 1 species